GCUCUUUCUAGAGUUAUGAGCUUAAUUGCCUGAGAGAAAAACUAUUUCAAAAAAGAAAGGUGCUUGGACUUAAACCCAAGGAAAGAAAGCAGUAUGCAGAGGUAAAACUGUAUUUACCAGAGAAAAAAAAUCCUUGAGGCAGAAGGAGCAUGUUUUUUGCUACAGUAACUGAAGCCUGUGCUCUUAGCCUUUGAACAUAUGUGCAUCCUUAUUUUCAUAUAACCAAAUAAAAAAAUGCUGCAUGUAAGUGAAGAAAUAUUAUUUUGCUGUGACACUGACUGCUUAUUGCUCUGAAAAUCAAUCAUGUGAAAAGGAUGUAGGAAUUUUCAUGAGGCACUAUGUAACCUUGCACCAGACCUUACAAACUUGCUGUCACCGUGAUCACAACUAGAGCUCUUUUUUCUUGGCUUCUCUUUGGAGAUGCAGAAAACAGAUGAUGCUCAUCUAAUUAAGUAGGUUAACAAAGUUCCUCAGCUUUAAGAUAAUUUUUUUUUCUUAUGACAAAAUGGAACUAUAGCCUGUAAGUGUAAAGAGGAAGAAAGUCAUUCACCCUGUAAUAUUUUGGCAUUUGCUUUUCCAUGGGAGCAUCUACAUAUUUUUGAACUUAAUGACAUAACCUGCUGGACAGAGAAUUUACAAGACAUCUGGAGAAGUUAUGACCUCUUCAUGACGUAAUGAGCUCUAUCCCUACUUUGUGUUUGUGCCUUCCAGCUUUGCACUUUUUCUGACAUUUUAACUUUUUGUACUAUUUCUCUCUUUCAUAUUGGACCCGCUGUUUUCUCAAUGGUUCCAGUCCUUUGUUUCUUUUCUAAUGUUUCAUAGUCUACUUGUGCAAAGUACAAUUUUUUCUUAAAGUAAACCUAAACUGAGAUGCAUGGCUAUGGUCUUCAAAACCAACUUUUAGGCCCUGUCACCUGAACACUUGGUUGUCAGGAAAAUAAAAAGGGGGAAAUCAAUCA
rnacentral:lncRNA from 1 species